UGCAGAGGUCUCAAGCGUUGUUCGGAAUCACUGGGCGUAAAGGGUGUGUAGGCUGCGUGUUAAGUCAGAUGUGAAAUCCCGGGGCUCAACCUCGGAACUGCAUCCGAUACUGGCAUGCUAGAGAAUUGGAGAGGAGUCUAGAAUUCACGGUGUAGCAGUGAAAUGCGUAGAUAUCGUGAGGAAUACCAAGUGCGAAGGCAGGACUCUGGACAUUUUCUGACGCUGAGACACGAAGGCUAGGGGAGCAAACGGG
rnacentral:rRNA from 1 species